AGCGAACGCUGGCGGCAGGCUUAACACAUGCAAGUCGAGCGGGCAUCUUCGGAUGUCAGCGGCAGACGGGUGAGUAACACGUGGGAACGUACCCUUCGGUUCGGAACAACUCUGGGAAACUGGAGCUAAUACCGGAUACGCCCUUAUGGGGAAAGGUUUACUGCCGAAGGAUCGGCCCGCGUCUGAUUAGCUAGUUGGUGGGGUAACGGCCUACCAAGGCGACGAUCAGUAGCUGGUCUGAGAGGAUGAUCAGCCACACUGGGACUGAGACACGGCCCAGACUCCUACGGGAGGCAGCAGUGGGGAAUAUUGGACAAUGGGCGCAAGCCUGAUCCAGCCACGCCGCGUGAGUGAUGAAGGCCUUAGGGUUGUAAAGCUCUUUUGUCCGGGACGAUAAUGACGGUACCGGAAGAAUAAGCCCCGGCUAACUUCGUG
rnacentral:rRNA from 1 species